rnacentral:rRNA from 1 species
AGAGUUUGAUCCUGGCUCAGGAUGAACGCUAGCGGCAGGCCUAACACAUGCAAGUCGAGGGGUAGUAAGUGCUUGCACUUAUGAGACCGGCGCGCGGGUGCGUAACGCGUAUGCAAUCUACCUUGUACAGGGGGAUAGCCCAGAGAAAUUUGGAUUAAUAUCCCAUAGUGUUUUAGAGUGGCAUCACUUAAUUACUAAAGAUUUAUCGGUACAAGAUGAGCAUGCGUCCCAUUAGUUAGUUGGUAAGGUAACGGCUUACCAAGACGAUGAUGGGUAGGGGUCCUGAGAGGGAGAUCCCCCACACUGGUACUGAGACACGGACCAGACUCCUACGGGAGGCAGCAGUGAGGAAUAUUGGGCAAUGGAGGCAACUCUGACCCAGCCAUGCCGCGUGCAGGAAGACGGCCCUAUGGGUUGUAAACUGCUUUUGUACGGGAAGAAACACUCCUACGUGUAGGAGCUUGACGGUACCGUAAGGACAAGGAUCGGCUAGCUCCGUGCCAGCAGCCGCGGUAAUACGGAGGAUCCAAGCGUUAUCCGGAAUCAUUGGGUUUAAAGGGUCCGUAGGCGGCCUUAUAAGUCAGUGGUGAAAUCUCCUAGCUCAACCAGGAAACUGCCAUUGAUACUGUAGGGCUUGAAUUUUUGUGAAGUAACUAGAAUAUGUAGUGUAGCGGUGAAAUGCUUAGAUAUUACAUGGAAUACCAAUUGCGAAGGCAGGUUACUAACAAACGAUUGACGCUGAUGGACGAAAAGCGUGGGGAGCGAACAGGAUUAGAUACCCUGGUAGUCAACGCCGUAACGAUGGAUACUAGCUGUUCGAGAGCAAUCUUGAGUGGCUAACAAAAGUGAUAAAGUAUCCCACCUUGGGGGAGUACGCA